ACCCGCACAAGCGGUGGAUGAUGUGGAUUAAUCGAUGCAACGCGAAGAACCUUACCUACCCUUGACAUGUCCGGAACUUGCCAGAGAUGGCUUGGUGCCCGAAAGGGAAUCGGAACACAGGUGCUGCAUGGCUGUCGUCAGCUCGUGUCGUGAGAUGUUGGGUUAAGUCCCGCAACGAGCGCAACCCUUAUCAUUAGUUGCUACGCAAGGGCACUCUAAUGAGACUGCCGGUGACAAACCGGAGAAGGUGGGGAUGACGUCAAGUCCUCAUGGCCCUUAUGGGUAGGGCUUCACACGUCAUACAAUGGUCGGUACAGAGGGUUGCCAAGCCGCGAGGCGGAGCCAAUCCCACAAAGCCGAUCGUAGUCCGGAUUGUUCUCUGCAACUCGAGAGCAUGAAGUCGGAAUCGCUAGUAAUCGCAGGUCAGCAUACUGCGGUGAAUACGUUCCCGGGUCUU
rnacentral:rRNA from 1 species